AGGCUCAGGGCCCCCGCGCAGGCGGCCGCCCGCCCCGUCGCAGCGGCCCGCCGCCCCCGCAGAGGCCGAGAUGGCGGAGGCGUCGCCCCCCGGGCCGCUCUCGCCCCUCGACGUGGAGCUGGACCCCGAGUUCGAGCCCCAGAGCCGGCCCCGCUCCUGCACCUGGCCGCUGCAGAGGCCCGAGCUGCAGGCCAGCCCCGCCAAGCCCGCCGGCGAGCCGCCCGCCGACGCCGCCUCCAUGAUCCCCGAGGAGGAGGACGACGACGACGAGGGGGGCGGCUCGGCCAUGGCCGUCGGCAGCGCGGCGCCCGGAGGCGGCGAGGCGGCGGCGGCGGCCGUCCCGGAGGAGGCGGCGCGGCUGCUGGCCCCGCUGCCCGCCGGCGGCCCCGAGGGACCGAGCCGCUCGCCCGGGGGGGCGGCGGGCUGCGGCGGCGGCGGCGGGGGGCUGAGCGGCGGCCCCGCGGCGGCGGCGGCGGCGCCGAGGAAGUGCUCGUCGCGGCGCAACGCGUGGGGCAACCUCUCCUACGCCGACCUCAUCACCCGCGCCAUCGAGAGCUCCCCGGAGAAGCGGCUCACCCUCUCGCAGAUCUACGACUGGAUGGUCCGCUGCGUGCCCUACUUCAAGGACAAGGGCGACAGCAACAGCUCGGCCGGCUGGAAGAAUUCAAUCCGGCACAACUUGUCCCUUCACAGCCGAUUCAUCAGGGUGCAGAAUGAAGGCACUGGGAAAAGCUCUUGGUGGAUGAUCAAUCCAGAUGGUGGCAAAGGUGGGAAGGCACCACGGAGACGUGCUGUGUCAAUGGACAAUAGCAACAAGUACACAAAGAGCAGAGGGCGGGCAGCUAAGAAAAAGGCAGCCCUGCAAACUGCCCAAGAGGCAAGUGAGGACAGCCCUUCUCAGCUCGCCAAAUGGCCAGGGAGCCCAACCUCCCGCAGCAGCGAUGAGCUGGAUGCAUGGACAGAUUUUCGCUCCCGUACAAAUUCAAAUGCCAGUACGAUAAGUGGCCGUUUGUCACCGAUUUUGGCAAGCACUGAAUUAGAUGACGUUCAAGAUGAUGAUGCUCCACUUUCUCCCAUGCUGUACAGUAGUCCAUCAAGCUUGUCCCCAUCAGUAAACAAACCAUGUACUGUGGAGUUACCUAGGUUGACUGAUAUGGCUGGGACAAUGAAUUUGAAUGAUGGACUGACAGAUAACCUCAUGGAUGAUCUCUUGGACAAUAUAACACUCCCUUCCUCCCAGCAGUCACCCACAGGAGGGAUAAUGCAGAGAAGCUCCAGUUUUCCGUAUGGUUCCAAAGGUUCAGGGCUGGGUUCUCCAUCAAGUAGUUUCAACAACGCUGUAUUUGGGCCAUCGUCCCUGAACUCCCUUCGCCAGUCGCCCAUGCAAACCAUUCAGGAGAAUAAGCAGGCCACCUUCUCUUCCAUUUCUCAUUAUAACAACCAGACGCUGCAGGAUCUGCUCGCCUCUGAUGCACUUAGUCACAGCGAUGUCAUGAUGACACAGUCUGACCCACUCAUGUCACAAGCCAGCACAGCUGUGUCCGCCCAGAAUUCCCGCAGGAAUAUCAUGCUCCGCAAUGACCCCAUGAUGUCAUUUGCCGCGCAGUCCAACCAGGGCGGUCUGGUCAAUCAGAGCCUGCCCCAUCACCAGCACCAGUCUCACAACUCCUCUCUUAGUGGCAGCCGUGCCUUGUCAAAUUCCAUCAGUAACAUUGGCUUAAAUGACUCUAACAGCUUGGGAUCCACCAAACAUCAGCAGUCACCUGUCCAUCAGUCUAUGCAAACACUUUCUGACCCGCUCUCAGGCUCUUCUUUGUAUUCCUCUAGCGUGAACCUCCCGGUCAUGGGUCACGAGAAAUUCCCAAGUGACUUGGACCUGGAUAUUUUCAAUGGGAGCCUGGAGUGUGACAUGGAGUCCAUUAUCCGCAGUGAACUCAUGGAUGCAGAUGGGUUGGAUUUUAACUUUGAUUCCCUCAUCUCAGCCCAGAACGUUGUCAGUCUGAAUGUGGGGAACUUCACUGGUGCUAAACAGGCUUCAUCACAGAGUUGGGUACCAGGCUGAAGGAUCUUUGAGAACAGGGGAAAUGGGCAAACAGACUCUGGGUUUGUCGCAGGAACUUUUCAAGGGACAACUGAAUUUUCCAGGAGGUGGCUUAAGAAGAAUAGGCAGACGAUGCUUUUCGGGAAGCUCCCUAUCCAAAAGUUCUCCCCAGCCUAUGGAAACAAGAAACUAUGCCACAUGUAAGAGCCGGAGGACUGGGCUCGAUGAGUGUUUGCUUCCCUGCCGGAUACGGUUUUCACUGCUAGGAAAUACCAGGCUACUAACUGGAACGUAAUAGCUUUUUGCGGUGAGACAGAAGGCCCUCAGACUGACAUGAGACAUAGAGAGCAAGCGAACCCUUUGCCAAAUCUGCUGUCAGCAAGUGGACAGUGAUACUGUUUACAGCUUAUGACCUUUGUGAACCCUGCAAUUUUUUCCUAAAGAAGCAGACUGUUAAAAAGCCCCUUACCUGAGUGAAGAUCCUCUUUUUUUUCUUUUUUCUUUCUUUCUUUCUUUUCUUUUCUUUUUUUUUUUUUUGGAAUUGAACUCAUUCUAAAGUAUGCAAAAUCUUCCUUUUCUGGGAUGGCCAAACACCUGCUGUGGAGACGAAGUUCAGCACCAUCCUGUUGAGAACACACUGUGUAGCCUUUACAGUAGUUAUUUGUCAAUGAGUAUGUGGUGUUUCAAUAUAUUAAUGGUUUAUGGGAUGUUUUAAGUUGGCUUUUUAUUUUUGGAGGUGUUCCCUGUCUGCCCACCCUUUCCCCCCUCAACCUCCAGUUUGAUUUCCUUAGAUUUUUUGACCAUUUUAGCUUUCUCUCCCUGGGGAACCUGAAAUGCAGCACAUGCGCAAGGAAACCUUAUCCUGAUUAUCAUAACCCUAGAUUGCUCUGACACGAGCUUUUCUGACUAUACAGCCUUCGUUAUACCCAUCAGCUGACCGACUUCCAGAGAGAGGUGACUCGUGUGAUGUGUUUGUUGGGUUUGUUUGUUUGUUUUUUACUCUUAAGUUUAGUGGUACGCCCCGCUUUCCCAUAAGCACCAAACUGGGGCUGAGUACGAAACAAGGGCGACCAGCAGGUUUGCCUCCUGGCCCGUGCUCACAAAGACCGGCUGAGCGAGGAGGCCGUUUCCGUGAUGCUUCCGGCCACGGGACCCGGUUCGCUGCCCCCCGGAGCGGUCUCACCUCUUGCGUCACGUUCGCGGGGCUGCGCUUGCUGCCGUGACAAGCACCGUUAGGCUGCCUCAGUCGUCUGGGAAGAAGUUACAAGCUGAACUGCCCCUCCGUUGCCAGAUGAGUUGAACAUAACCACCUGUGAAGAUCUGUUUAAAAAUGGGAGGAUGAAAGAAAGGAAAAUGCACCACUUGGCAGAAAAGAUAAGCUUGCAGGCUGGGCAUCAGCAAGUAACCUAACAGUGGCAGUGUCGGGAGUUCGGGCACAGAUCGUUGCAGGGUGUGUUAUUGCAUCAGUGAUUUUUUUUUUUUUUUUGACAUAUCCUUGAUUAUUUUUUCCUUCUCAUUAUGCAUAAUCCAUUGUGGAAGAAGCAGGAGAGGGAAUGGCAAGGUGACAGUAUCAUACAAAUGGCUUUUCAUAUGAGCAUAGAUUGUAACAGGAUAAAUGACACUGAAAGACAAGGCAGUUUUAUAUAUUUUGCUUCUAAGAUUUUCUUUUGUAAAAUGAAUAAUAAUGAAUUAAUAAUAAUGAAUAAAAGGUAUGGUGCUGUAUAGAUCCUCUCUAUAAUCUGGAAAGUUUGAUUACUUUUUAUUAGUAUCUUUUUGGGUGGGGGGAGGGAUAUGAAAAAAGAGGGGAAGAACACCAAUGGUACAUAUGAACUUGGUAUGAAGAAGUUCUGAAUAGGACAGUGUAUACAUAAUUCUCCAAAGCGAUAUAUGAAGUUUUUUUUUCUUUGCAUAAAAGCAUUAUGCAUAUAAAUAUAUAAAUAUAUUUUAUUAUGUACAGAAAUGGCUCAUUAUGCAUGGAUGUUAGGAAAACAAACUAGCAUUUUAACCCAAAGUUUCAGUGCAUGAGUUCCCACUGAUACGUGUUACCAUGCAAUGUGGAGUGACUCCCUUUCGCCACGGCCACCACACGUGCGCAAGCGCACGGUCAUGCACACAGACACAACACGAGCAUUUGUGGGCCCUACGUAGCUCCUUACUUGCCAGGUCCCUGAGGUGAUAUUGGUGAAAUAACAGCUCCUCGUGUGAUGGAAGUUUUGUUUUGUGUUGUGGCCUCCUCAUGCUCCCGCUGUUCCCCCGUGAAGAUGCACCUCUUGGUUGCACCACGCAGUUAUGGCUGUGCAAGCUCUGUGCGGUUGUGGAUAGCGUAUCCCCGUAGCCUACCGACUCUUCCAAGCAGCUAAGGGUUUAUCAUUUUUCUUUUAAAAAAACUUAUUUUUUUUUUUACAUGAAGGUGGUCUGUUGGUCAGCAUGGGGACUAGUUUGUUUUAAGUUUAUCAGAGUUAGCUGAGGCUUAUUGCCGAUCUCCAUAUCUAGGGAGAUAUUUCCAGUAGUUGGUUGCCCUGGACACCCAGGUUGUACAGUGGUCAUCCAUGGCUGCAAGGUCCCUGGUAUAUCUUGAAACAUGAAUUACACCGAUGGCCUUUCCCCCACCGGCUCGUGCCCUGCAUUUGGGCCAGCCUCGUUUCACUGGGAUGAGGCGCUGCCCCCAGGCCACCACUGCAGGGCUGGCAACUACCUGCCCAGAGACCGCUGCCAAGACCUCUCUGUAAUCUGGCUCCAGAUGGUAUGAUGAAAAUCCAUCAUCUUACUUUUGUUCUUGGUAGGGAAGCAGUCCUUGUCGCACACAAAGCAAUUGAUUUAAACCUAGCCGGCGGUUUCUGCUCCAUCAGUGUGGCAUAGCUCCACUGAAGCCCAUGGAGCUAACUCAUGCCAGUGUCAGUGAGAGGGAAAAAUAUGGUCCACCCUGCUCAGAAAAUGGAAGAAAAGAAAACCGAUGGAUUUGGAGACAGUCAAUGGCAGAGAAGUCUUUUUAAAAAAAAAAUAAAUAAAGCAUUAGCAGCUGAAAGGCCUAUCUACCUCCCAGCAAUGUCAAGGAAAGCACUUUCGUUGGCUUGUUGAGGACAGAUUGGGCCCCUUCUUUUGAGGCUGUCCCCUGCACUAGCUGGAGAGGGAUGGACUUGGACAACCUCUUCAGUUUGCUUUGGUUUCUCUCUUGCUCAUUUUGGUGGCCAAAAUUUUCAAACUGAAGUGCCCCGAGCCAGGCACCCAAGGCUGGGACUAUAAAAUGGUCCCGCAGGGUGAGCUACUCUACCCUCGUUGCUUUUCUGGGGAAGCAGAGGUGCCCGCUUGCUGGAGGCCCACUGGAAGAUUACUGCCCUACAUGGGCAUUUAGGUGUCUAAAAAUUGCCCUCGUCUUCAGAGGCCCUGGAUAAAUGCAUCUCCCUGCAUUCAAAGGGUCACUUACUUCUGCAUCAAAAUACAGAUUGCAAUGGCUGAUUUGGGGAACCAACCUUUUGAAAACUUUGUCCUUUGAAUCUUUGAACAUCUUUAUGCAUAGAAUUUUUCCUUCCAAAAUCCUGUAAAACAGAUACAGGUCCAGAACAAUUACACAAGGAUUGCUUAAACCCUUUGUCAAGAAAGAGUUCCAAAAAAGGUGACAUUUUUACAGUUCCUACAGUCAUGAGUUUGGGGUUUUAUUUAAUAAUUUUGUAAAUUUUUUCUCUUGAGAAUAAUUAGUUAGUUGGCCACUGCCUAAUUCCAGAAAUAUUUGUGCCACUGCUCCAAAAAGCUACCUUUUAGGUCAUGUAUUUCUCUAAAGUGAUGUCAUUGCUUGGCAAUCAGUGUCCUGUAAUUGUUUUUUAGUACACAAUAUGCAUUAGGAAUGCCAACAGACGCGAAGGGGGACCAGAUACAUUUCGUUACUAUGGGUUGGAAAAAUAGAUUGUACAUUUGGCUUCACAUGUUUAACUUUUUUUAAAAAAAGUUGCAUGAUUGAAAAAAAUAUGUAUACAGUAUCUGUAAAGCUGUUUUAUCUGUUUUUGUUUCAAGCCAUGUAAAUUGGAAGAAUUUUAAAUCCACAGCCUUAUCAUGCAUGGCCAUCUUUACAUACCGAAGAGCUGAACAAUUUAUACUUUUCAUUUGGGCUAUCUUGUACUUUCAUUUGAAAGCAGACACUCUCAUGUUGCAUUCUUACGGAGGAUUUUAUAAAAAACAGAAAACAAAAAAAAGAUACUGCCCUGGAUGAAUAUACUACCUUACUACACAGAGAUUGGAAGCAAGUUUGUUUUGGAGCUCUGCCCCUUUCCAAACGAAGUCGAGAUGCAGUGCUUACUCCACUUGAUGUUAGUAGAUAUUGCCUUGUGUAUUCCAUUUUAAAUUGUAAUCUAGUUUGUAAAAGAGCUGGUGACGCAUGUAAAUAAAGCGUAAUGGAUCUCUA